rnacentral:rRNA from 1 species
UACGUAGGGGGCAAGCGUUGUCCGGAUUUAUUGGGCGUAAAGAGCGUGUAGGCGGCUAGGUAGGUCCGUUGUGAAAACUCGAGGCUCAACCUCGAGACGCCGGUGGAAACCAUCUAGCUAGAGUCCGGAAGAGGAGAAUGGAAUUCCCGGUGUAGCGGUGAAAUGCGCAGAUAUCGGGAAGAACACCCGUGGCGAAGGCGGUUCUCUGGGACGGUACUGACGCUGAGACGCGCAAGCGUGGGGAGCGAACAGG